CUCACUUCCUGGUGUGAACCGUGCGAGCUGUGCUUACCUGUUGGGCCGCGUUUGGGGAUCAAUUCCCCCUUCAUCUGGGUGUCAACUUGCUGCUAGAUGAGUGGCUGUAGGGAGGUCGCAGACUCCCCACCUCUCCUACUGGGCGUGUCAGUUAAAUGUUUGUUUGCCAGGAGCGGCUGGCUAAUCUGCCGUG